CCGCAAGGGGAGCGGCAGACGGGUGAGUAACGCGUGGGAAUCUACCCAUCCCUACAACAACUCCGGGAAACUGGAGCUAAUACCGUAUACGUCCUUUUGGAGAAAGAUUUAUCGGAUGGAUGAGCCCGCGUUGGAUUAGCUAGUUGGUGGGGUAAUGGCCUACCAAGGCGAAUCCAUAGCUGGUCUGAGAGGAUGAUCAGCCACACUGGGGACUGAGACACGGCCCAGACCUACGGGAGGCAGCAGUGGGGAAUAUUGGACAAAUGGGCGCAAGCCUGAUCCAGCCACCGCGUGAGUGAUGAAGGCCCUAGGGUUGUAAAGCUCUUUCAACGGUGAAGAUAAUGAGUAACCGUAGAAGAAGCCCCGGCUAACUUCGUGCCAGCGAGCCGCGGUAAUACGAAGGGCUAGCGUUGUUCGGAAUUACUGGGCGUAAAGCGCACGUAGGCGGAUUGUUAAGUUAGGUGAAAUCCCAGGGCUCAACCCUGGAACUGCCUUUAAUACUGGCAAUCUCGAGUCCGAGAGGUGAGUGGAAUUCCGAGUGUAGAGGUGAAAUUCGUAGAUAUUCGGAGGAACACCAGGCGAAGGCGGCUCACUGGCUCGGUACUGACGCUGAGGUGCGAAAGCGUGGGGAGCAA
rnacentral:rRNA from 1 species